GAUGAACGCUGGCGGCGUGCCUAAUACAUGCAAGUCGAGCGAAUGGAUUAAGAGCUUGCUCUUAUGAAGUUAGCGGCGGACGGGUGAGUAACACGUGGGUAACCUGCCCAUAAGACUGGGAUAACUCCGGGAAACCGGGGCUAAUACCGGAUAACAUUUUGAACCGCAUGGUUCGAAAUUGAAAGGCGGCUUCGGCUGUCACUUUAGGAUGGACCCGCGUCGCAUUAGCUAGUUGGUGAGGUAACGGCUCACCAAGGCAACGAUGCGUAGCCGACCUGAGAGGGUGAUCGGCCACACUGGGACUGAGACACGGCCCAGACUCCUACGGGAGGCAGCAGUAGGGAAUCUUCCGCAAUGGACGGAAGUCUGACGGAGCAACGCCGCGUGAGUGAUGAAGGCUUUCGGGUCGUAAAACUCUGUUGUUAGGGAAGAACAAGUGCUAGUUGAAUAAGCUGACACCUUGACGGUACCUAACCAGAAAGCCACGGCUAACUACGUGCCAGCCGCCGCCGUAA
rnacentral:rRNA from 1 species